GUGGGGAAUCUUCCGCAAUGGACGAAAGUCUGACGGAGCAACGCCGCGUGAGUGAUGAAGGUCUUCGGAUUGUAAAGCUCUGUUAAUCGGGACGAAAGAGCCUAGUGUGAAUAAUGCUAGGAAGUGACGGUACCGGAAUAGAAAGCCACGGCUAACUACGUGCCAGCAGCCGUGGUAAUACGUAGGUGGCAAGCGUUGUCCGGAAUUAUUGGGCGUAAAGCGCGCGCAGGCGGAUCUGCCAGUCUGUCUUAAAAGUUCGGGGCUUAACCCCGUGAUGGGAUGGAAACUACAGAUCUAGAGUAUCGGAGAGGAAAGUGGAAUUCCUAGUGUAGCGGUGAAAUGCGUAGAUAUUAGGAAGAACACCAGUGGCGAAGGCGACUUUCUGGACGAAAACUGACGCUGAGGCGCGAAAGCCAGGGGAGCGAACGGGAUUAGAAACCCUGGUAGUCC
rnacentral:rRNA from 1 species